rnacentral:rRNA from 1 species
ACUUGAUUAGUACGAUUCUGGCCCAGCAUUUAUAUAAACGUUAUUAAAUUUUACUGAAAUCUCUAUGUAAAUAUAGAAACAACUUUUAACAACGGAUCUCUUGGCUCUCGCAACGAUGAAGAACGCAGCGAAAUGCGAUACGUAAUGUGAAUUGCUUUCCGUGAAUCAUCGAAUCUUUGAACGCAUAUUGCACUCCUUUGGAGUAUGCCUGUUUGAGAAUCUAUAGUAUUACUUCAAGGUGCUUUCUUUCACGAGAAAUCACCGAGAGAUAUGGAGUUUCCCUUUGGGUACUCUUAAAUUGAUUGUCUUUGCGCUGUAGUAAAUGUUUGACAUUUCCUCAACUCUUCAGAAAAGUAUGUGAAUGAAGCUAACGUUUCUCAUAAUGCUCAUUACGUCGAAGAAGAAGUUUAGUUUACCGCAAAACAGGGGUUCAUAACUAUAAGUUACUCUGUGACUUGAACAAUGGUCUCAAAUCAGGUAGGAAGACCCGCUGAACUUAA